UUGCACUAGUCCCGGCCUGC
rnacentral:miRNA from 5 species